GGUUAGCUCAGCUGGUAGAGCGCCUAAGCUUGCUUAGGAGGCCGUGGGUUCGAAUCCCACACCAA
rnacentral:tRNA from 1 species